rnacentral:rRNA from 1 species
UACGGGGGGAGCAAGCGUUGUUCGGAAUUACUGGGCGUAAAGGGCUCGUAGGCGGCCAACUAAGUCGGACGUGAAAUCCCUCAGCUUAACUGGGGAACUGCGUCCGAUACUGGAUGGCUUGGAUUUGGGAGAGGGAUGCGGAAUUCCAGGUGUAGCGGUGAAAUGCGUAGAUAUCGGAAGGAACACCAGUGGCGAAAGCGGCUUCCUGGUCCAGCACCGACGUUCAGGCACGAAAGCGUGGGGAGCAAACAGG